AUUGAACGCUGGCGGCAUGCCUUACACAUGCAAGUCGAACGGCAGCACGGGAGCAAUCCUGGUGGCGAGUGGCGAGCGGGUGAGUAAAGUAUCGGAACGUGCCCAGUCGUGGGGGAUAACGUAGCGAAAGUUACGCUAAUACCGCAUACGAUCUAUGGAUGAAAGCGGGGGAUCGCAAGACCUCGCGCGAUUGGAGCGGCCGAUAUCAGAUUAGGUAGUUGGUGGGGUAAAGGCUCACCAAGCCGACGAUCUGUAGCUGGUCUGAGAGGACGACCGGCCACACGGGGACUGAGAAACGGCCCAGACUCCUACGGGAGGCAGCAGUGGGGAAUUUUGGACAAUGGGCGAAAGCCUGAUCCAGCCAUGCCGCGUGCAGGAUGAAGGCCUUCGGGUUGUAAACUGCUUUUGUACGGAACGAAAAGGUUUGGCCUAAUAAGCUGAGCUCAUGACGGUACCGUAAGAAUAAGCACCGGCUAACUACGUGCCAGCCGCCGCCGUAA
rnacentral:rRNA from 1 species